rnacentral:misc_RNA from 1 species
CGCAGCCGCGGUAAUUCCAGCUCCAAUAGCGUAUAUUAAAGUUGCUGCAGUUAAAAAGCUCGUAGUUGAAUUUCGGGACCAUCAUGUCGGUCGUGCCUCGGUACGUACUGGCAUUGUUGGUUUCUACCUUCUGACGAACCAUGAUGUCAUUUAUUUGGUGUCGUGGGAAAUCAGGACUGUUACUUUGAAAAAAUUAGAGUGUUUAAAGCAGGCUCACGCUUGAAUACAUUAGCAUGGAAUAAUGAAAUAGGACGUUUGAUUCUAUUUUGUUGGUUUCUAGGAUCGACGUAAUGAUUAAUAGGGAUAGUUGGGGGCAUUAGUAUUCAAUUGUCAGAGGUGAAAUUCUUGGAUUUAUUGAAGACUAACUACUGCGAAAGCAUUUGCCAAGGAUGUUUUCAUUAAUCAAGAACGAAAGUUAGGGGAUCGAAGACGAUCAGAUACCGUCGUAGUCUUAACCAUAAACUAUGCCGACUAGGGAUCGGAUGAUGUUAAUUUUUAAUGACUCAUUCGGCGCCUUAAC